GCCAGCUGAUCGGAGGAGAAGCCGGUAUGAGAGGAGUAGAAGAGAAACGGACAGACUCAGGGAGGAGAUGUGAACACCGUGAAGACGGACACGCACUGACGCCAGAGCCCGACUUAAUGGAACAAUCUUAAUUAAUCCAGUUGAUAACAAGGUUGAUCCUCUCUAUCACUUGGAGUGUCCAGAGCAUGUCCAGCUGCCCACUGGCUGACCCGCAGCAGUUCUUCACUGGCAAGCUUUAUGUCCUUGUGUAUCAGCUAAAGCUGCCAGCUGAAGAACUGUUGUGGUUGGCUCUUUCCUGGCACCCCAGCCUAGAAUGAGACUAUCAAAUCAUGAGUUGGGGGAAUCGGACACAAGCCUGAUGGUAGAAAACUCAAAAUCAAUCUCAGGUUUUUAAACCUAAUUCGUUUAUCCACCUCAUCCCAAUUUCCCCUCAUGCCCCAUUUGGAAGGUGUCACGUGAGCUGUCUGGGCCUGGCUCUGCAUUCUCUGCAAGCAUAAACUAAACCUACUGGCAAGGCCCAUGCUGAGUCAGCAACAUUCCUAAAUGGAUGAGAUGCUCCUGCCCUUAUUUGGGUGUGGAACAGGCCAGGGAAACACCCUUUCAACCUGUCUACUGCUGAUCAAAAUAUUUUACAUGGUUAAAGGAAGAAGUGCAGUUCUCUUAUGGAUGUUACUGUGUUCUCUGGACACAAGCCCAGGCCUUUACAUGUGUUUCUGUUUAUGAAUAAGUCACCAGGUUCUUCCAGAGUAUGAACAAAAAACACACAUGCUGGACUUGCAUCUGUAACUUCCCCUUUUUUUCCCCCCAGGGCCCUGCUGUGGUAUGUGAUUUUGGGUUUAUUUGUUCGGCUUAUGCAUACUGUGCAUGAGUACAACCACUGACACUCUUGGAUAUACACAUGCAUACACACAUGCGUGCGUGCGUGCGUGCACACACACACACACACACACACACACACACACACAUACACAGUGCCUGACCCUUAGCAAGCAAUAGGCCUCACUUCAAGGGCAACAGCAGUGCUGCAAACAGGAUAUGAAAAUGUCUUGAGCCUCCUAACCAGAUGAAAAGUGAGGUAGAAAAUGUUCUUGUCACUCAGCAGAACCAGAUGCCCAUGGUAUGAAAAGUGAAGCCCACACUUUCUAUGUUUUUGUUCUGCUUCAUCUCUGAGGAUCUGUCAGGAUCAGUAUUUUUGACUCUUGUAAAUGUUUGUUAGGUAACUUUAUUUAUUUGUUUAAAGAAUGCAAGACUUUUUAAGAAUACAUUUUGCAAUUUUUGCAUUUUACACUCUUACUUAAUCAUGGUCUUUACAUGAAUAUUAAUAAAAAGUUUAUAUAUAUAUAUAUAUAUAUUUUUAUUUUUAUUAUUAUUUUGAAGUGCAUUAUAAAUGAUUUUAACAACA